UCGGGGUCAGUGGCAGACGGGUGAGUAACGCGUGNNAACGUGCCCUUCANUUUGGAAUAACCCANGGAAACUUGGGCUAAUACCGGAUACGCCCGCAAGGGGAAAGAUUUAUCGCUGAAGGAUCGGCCCGCGUCUGAUUAGCUGGUUGGUGAGGUAAUGGCUCACCAAGGCGACGAUCAGUAGCUGGUCUGAGAGGAUGAUCAGCCACAUUGGGACUGAGACACGGCCCAAACUCCUACGGGAGGCAGCAGUGGGGAAUAUUGGACAAUGGGCGCAAGCCUGAUCCAGCCAUGCCGCGUGAGUGAUGACGGCCUUAGGGUUGUAAAGCUCUUUCGCACGCGACGAUAAUGACGGUAGCGUGAGAAGAAGCCCCGGCUAACUUCGUGCCAGCAGCCGNGGUAAUACGAAGGGGGCUAGCGNNGUUCGGAAUCACUGGGCGUAAAGGGCGCGUAGGCGGCUUUGUAAGUCGGGGGUGAAAGCCUGUGGCUCAACCACAGAAUUGCCUUCGAUACUGCAUGGCUUGAGACCGGAAGAGGUUAGUGNAACUGCGAGUGUAGAGGUGAAAUUCGUAGAUAUUCGCAAGAACACCAGUGGCGAAGGCGGCUGACUGGUCCG
rnacentral:rRNA from 1 species